rnacentral:rRNA from 1 species
CAGACGUGGGGGAACCUGACCGCAAUGCCGCGUGAGUGAAGAAGGCCUUCGGGUUGUAAAGCUCUUUUGUCAGGGAAGAAACACCGGCUCUAACACAGUCCGGGAAUGACGGUACCUGAAGAAUAAGCACCGGCUAACUAUGUGCCAGCAGCCGCGGUAAUACGUAGGGUGCAAGCGUUAAUCGGAAUUACUGGGCGUAAAGCGUGCGCAGGCGGUUAUACAAGACAGGCGUGAAAUCCCCGGGCUUAACCUGGGAAUGGCGCCUGUGACUGUAUAGCUAGAGUGUGUCAGAGGGGGGUAGAAUUCCACGUGUAGCAGUGAAAUGCGUAGAUAUGUGGAGGAAUACCAAUGGCGAAGGCAGCCCCCUGGGAUAACACUGACGCUCAUGCACGAAA